rnacentral:rRNA from 1 species
GACGAACGCUGGCGGCGUGCUUAACACAUGCAAGUCGAACGGUAAGGCCCUUCGGGGUACACGAGUGGCGAACGGGUGAGUAACACGUGGGUGAUCUGCCCUGCACUUCGGGAUAAGCCUGGGAAACUGGGUCUAAUACCGGAUAGGACUCCGGACUGCAUGGUCUGGGGUGGAAAGCUUUAGCGGUGUGGGAUGGGCCCGCGGCCUAUCAGCUUGUUGGUGGGGUGAUGGCCUACCAAGGCGACGACGGGUAGCCGGCCUGAGAGGGUGACCGGCCACACUGGGACUGAGAUACGGCCCAGACUCCUACGGGAGGCAGCAGUGGGGAAUAUUGCUCAAUGGGCGCAAGCCUGAUGCAGCGACGCCGCGUGAGGGAUGACGGCCUUCGGGUUGUAAACCUCUUUCAGCAUCGACGAAGCGAAAGUGACGGUAGGUGCAGAAGAAGGACCGGCCAACUACGUGCCAGCCGCCGCGGUAA